rnacentral:rRNA from 1 species
UACGUAGGUGGCAAGCGUUGUUCGGAAUUACUGGGCGUAAAGGGCUCGUAGGCGGCCAACUAAGUCAGACGUGAAAUCCCUCAGCUUAACUGGGGAACUGCGUCUGAUACUGGAUGGCUUGGAUUCGGGAGAGGAAUGCGGAAUUCCAGGUGUAGCGGUGAAAUGCGUAGAUAUCCGGAGGAACACCAGUGGCGAAGGCGGCUCACUGGCCCGAUACUGACGCUGAGGCACGAAAGCGUGGGGAGCAAACAGG